ensembl:lncRNA
AUCUCACACGCCCAAUUUGACUACAAUGCCGAUUUUCUGGCUUGUUUGAGAGCGUAGCCGAUACGAUUGGAUAAAGCAGGAAGAAUAGGUCGUCUCUGAAUAGCCUCCGUAUUGAGUGUCUGAUGUAUUGAUUACGGAGGCUGGGAAGCCACAUUAAUCAUUCACAGCAUGUUUGAUUACCUGAUCUAUUUUCUUUUUAUGCACAUUGUAUGCUUUUAUUUGCCUCUGCAUGAACUAUUUAUUGUAGUAAGUGGUGAGUCAACCCAAAAUCUGCGCAAACUGAUCAUUUAAAUUAAACUCGACAAGCUGUCUGGCCACGUAGCACGCUGAGUCGUGAUGUGGUUCAUCAGCGUGUGUGUCGUUCACUCUUGGUAUUGAGUGGGGGGGUUGGCGAUCCAUUUAGCUGUUUCAUCAAUUUCAUCACUUGCCGGUUACAUCUACAUAGUUACAUAGUAAUAGUUAGUGAGGAGUCCGCAGGCAGCUAUUGACAGUACGAUGCAGGCAAUAAAAGGUGUUUUUAGAAAGCGGGAGUUAAUGCCAACAUGGACGUGCAGCAUCCCAAAAAAUGAUGCAGCAGAACGCUGGGACUCCGUGAACCUCUCAGGCCAGAACCCAACGGACCCGGUGAAGGUUCCUGAGCGGCGGGCCGGCCGAGGAGGAGAGAAGAUCUGUGGGAAAACUCCAGACUCACCGGCUGCUCGCUGUGUGUCGCUGGACAGAAGCUGCAGGCGCACAAAGCCAUCCUGGCAGAACCGUGUGGAGAUAAAUGACGUGGAGCCAGAUGUCUUCAAAGAGAUGACGUGCUUCAUCUACACAGGCGAGGCCCCCAACCUGGACAAGAUGGCCUGCUGGCUGCAGCUGACAAGUACGCUCUGGUGAGGCUGAAGGUGGUGCACCAGUCUUGAGGGUGGAGAACGCCGCCGAGAUCCUCGCCAAGAUCCUCGCCAAGAUCCUCGCCGACUUUAUCGACUGAGACCGUUGAUCUCCAGAACUACUAAAGUUUCAAGCUUUUUUGUUCAUUUCGGUCUCACACACACACACACACACACUUCUACACUUAGCUUUUGCUCGGAGGGAAGUCAUUCAUUUUCAGUGGGAGCAAUUUUCUUUCUCCCGAGGAAUUUUAAUUUAAUUCCCAGAUUGGACCAUUUUGCUUCGGUAUGGUAUUGAGCCAUUUAAAGCAAUAAAGCUCAGCUGCCGAUGUUCAUCAUGUGGCGGGCAGCCUGCUUAGGUUGGACGGGGCCUAUUAGCAUCUGUGACCGCCGUUUAUGUCCACGGAGAGCGGUGGUUGACUGACCAGUUCUCCCACAAAAGCGCAUCGCCUUCCCUCUUAUUUUCUAUCCCUUUGUUCAUCCCUCUGUCCUCUAUUCAACCAUCACUUGUUCCUGCCUGGACCUCCCUCUCUCCUUUCAUUCAUUCCCAUCUUCCAUGCUCUCCCUCUCGCCUCUCGGCCAGUGCUUAAGGGCUCCUGCACGCCUAAAGGUGUUCAGCAAUGCAGAUCUCUGCCCUUAAUCCAAGUCAUUAAUUGUGGUUACGGCCGUUAUGACAGUUUAAUUUGCCGGAGAGUUGUUGUGGUGGAGGGGAAAUUGGCCACGAGGGACUCCUGGCAGGCGAAACAAUAUCAAUCCGCCUCCCGCGGACACAAUGGAAGAAAUCAAUUUAGAGGACGAAUGCAUAAAGGAUCCUCCCGCCCAGUAGUACCUCAACCUCUUCCCAGACCCGCCUUCUCAGGCAGUUUACCGUCAUUUAUUCCAGACAAUAGAAUUUGUCUUUUUGCCUUCUCAGUCUCAUUUAUUCACCCUCCACAGGGAUGAUGCAGAGAGUAAAGCCACAAAGACAAUCUCUAUCAACUGUGUUCAGAGAUUAGAAUUUACGCACUUUUCUUGUUGGCGAUGGUAGUACGACGGUACAAUCAAUUUAAUAAUUGCUGGAAUUUUUAGUUAACAAAAGCAAUCCAGUGUGAUUACCUGCGUCUGGAGGUCACAGUUUGGCCUCUUUUUAAUUUACCUUCACAUCGCUGCUGCUCUCUAUCUAUCUAUCGCUCACCUCCUGGUGUUUUAUUCAUUUAUUUAUUUAUUUGCUGCCUUUACUCUUUCCCCUGUCGGUCCGUCCCUCCCGCUUCCUCUCCUGCUGUGACUGCUCUUUUCCUGCCCUUCGCUGGCCGGUCGCCUCACCCUCACCAGACCAGCCAUUACCAUAGGCAGAGGCCCACCUCCUCCACAGAGGCUCGGGUCAGAGGUCAGCUGGAGGUCUGGAGCUGCUGUGCGGAAUACAUAGGACCACACACACACCCCGAAGUGCCAAGAGUGGCCAUGCCAAGACACACACAUACACACACACACACACACACACACACACAUGCUGUUGUUUAUAGACACACAGUAAAUCAAGACAAAUGCCAUUAAAGGCCACACAGCGGUGUGCGUGAUAGUGCAGCGGGUGUCAGGAGGUUGAAGACCGCCACAGGGUCUGCUGGGGGAAAUACAUCUGUGGGUGUGAGAUGACCGCCAAUAAUACUCACCAGCAAUUAAUGAGACAUAAUGCAUUAGUCUAUUAAUUGU